rnacentral:rRNA from 2 species
CCCUUGAAAUACCACCCUGUUGUUAUUGAGGUUCUAACUUGGUCCAGUAAUCCUGGAUGAGGACAGUGUAUGAUGGGUAGUUUGACUGGGGCGGUCUCCUCCCAAAGAGUAACGGAGGAGCACAAAGGUACCCUCGGUACGGUCGGACAUCGUACCAAGAGUGUAAAGGCAAAAGGGUGCUUGACUGCGAGAGUGACGGCUCGAGCAGGAACGAAAGUUGGUCUUAGUGAUCCGGUGGUUCUGAAUGGAAGGGCCAUCGCUCAACGGAUAAAAGGUACUCCGGGGAUAACAGGCUGAUACCGCCCAAGAGUUCAUAUCGACGGCGGUGUUUGGCACCUCGAUGUCGGCUCAUCACAUCCUGGGGCUGAAGCAGGUCCCAAGGGUAUGGCUGUUCGCCAUUUAAAGUGGUACGCGAGCUGGGUUUAGAACGUCGUGAGACAGUUCGGUCCCUAUCUGCCGUGGGCGUAGGAAAAUUGAGAGGAGCUGCUCCUAGUACGAGAGGACCGGAGUGGACGAACCUCUGGUGCACCGGUUGUCACGCCAGUGGCAUGGCCGGGUAGCUAAGUUCGGACGGGAUAACCGCUGAAAGCAUCUAAGCGGGAAGCCUCCCUCAAGAUGAGUUUUCCCAUGAAGCCCGUUGAAGACUACGACGUUGAUAGGCAAGGUGUGGAAGCGCAGUAAUGCGUGAAGCUAACUUGUACUAAUUGGCUGAUUGUCUUGACCAUA